rnacentral:rRNA from 1 species
GGUGGCGGGACGGGUGAAGUAAUGUGUAGAAGAAUCUCGCCCUAGAGGUGGGGGACAACAGUUUGGAAAACGACUGCUAAUACCCGCAUAUGCGCGUACCUGCAAUGGUAUUCGUGAAAACUCCGGUGCUCUGGGAUGAGUCUGCAUCUGAUUAGCUGGUUGGCGGUGUAAUGGACCACCAAGGCGACGAUCAGUAGCUGGUUUGAGAGGAUGAUCAGCCACAAUGGGACUGAGACACGGCCCAUACUCCUACGGGAGGCAGCAGUAGGGAAUUUUGCGCAAUGGGGGAAACCCUGACGCAAGCAACGCCGCGUGAUUGAAUAAGCCCUUCGGGGUGUAAAGAUCUGUCAGUGGGGACGAAACUUGACGGUACCCACAGAGGAAGCAUCGGCUAACUCCGUGCCAGCAGCGGC